rnacentral:rRNA from 1 species
AACGAACGCUGGCGGCAGGCUUAACACAUGCAAGUCGAACGCGUGUAGCAAUACACGAGUGGCGCACGGGUGAGUAACGCGUGGAUAUCUGCCUUUUGGUUCGGAAUAACCCCGGGAAACUGGGGCUAAUACCGGAUGGUUCCUACGGGAUAAAGAUUUAUCGCCAAAAGAUGAGUCCGCGUACGAUUAGCUAGUUGGUGAGGUAAUGGCUCACCAAGGCGACGAUCGUUAGCUGGUCUGAGAGGACGAUCAGCCACACUGGGACUGAGACACGGCCCAGACUCCUACGGGAGGCAGCAAUGGGGAAUAUUGGACAAUGGGGGCAACCCUGAUCCAGCCAUGCCGCGUGAGUGAUGAAGGCUUUCGGGUUGUAAAGCUCUUUUGGCGGGGACGAUGAUGACGGUACCCGCAGAAUAAGCCCCGGCUAACUUCGUGCCAGCCGCCGCAGUAA